rnacentral:rRNA from 1 species
GCAAACGGGAUUAGAUACCCUGGUAGUCCACGCUGUAAACGAUGUCGAUUUGGAGGUUGUGCCCUUGAGGCGUGGCUUCCGGAGCUAACGCGUUAAAUCGACCGCCUGGGGAGUACGGCCGCAAGGUUAAAACUCAAAUGAAUUGACGGGGGCCCGCACAAGCGGUGGAGCAUGUGGUUUAAUUCGAUGCAACGCGAAGAACCUUACCUACUCUUGACAUCCAGAGAACUUUCCGGAGAUGGAUUGGUGCCUUCGGGAACUCUGAGACAGGUGCUGCAUGGCUGUCGUCAGCUCGUGUUGUGAAAUGUUGGGUUAAGUCCCGCAACGAGCGCAACCCUUAUCCUUUGUUGCCAGCGGUUCGGCCGGGAACUCAAAGGAGACUGCCAGUGAUAAACUGGAGGAAGGUGGGGAUGACGUCAAGUCAUCAUGGCCCUUACGAGUAGGGCUACACACGUGCUACAAUGGCAUAUACAAAGAGAAGCGACCUCGCGAGAGCAAGCGGACCUCAUAAAGUAUGUCGUAGUCCGGAUUGGAGUCUGCAACUCGACUCCAUGAAGUCGGAAUCGCUAGUAAUCGUAGAUCAGAAUGCUACGGUGAAUACGUUCCCGGGCCUUGUACACACCGCCCGUCACACCAUGGGAGUGGGUUGCAAAAGAAGUAGGUAGCUUAACCUUCGGGAGGGCGCUUACCACUUUGUGAUUCAUGACUGGGG